rnacentral:rRNA from 1 species
GAAUUCGCCCUUAGAGUUUGAUCCUGGCUCAGGACGAACGCUGGCGGCGCGCCUAACACAUGCAAGUCGAACGAGAGAGGAAGAGCUUGCUCUUCUGAUCGAGUGGCGAACGGGUGAGUAACGCGUGAGGAACCUGCCUCAAAGAGGGGGACAACAGUUGGAAACGACUGCUAAUACCGCAUAAGCCCACGGCUCGGCAUCGAGCAGAGGGAAAAGGAGCAAUCCGCUUUGAGAUGGCCUCGCGUCCGAUUAGCUAGUUGGUGAGGUAAUGGCCCACCAAGGCAACGAUCGGUAGCCGGACUGAGAGGUUGAACGGCCACAUUGGGACUGAGACACGGCCCAGACUCCUACGGGAGGCAGCAGUGGGGAAUAUUGCACAAUGGGGGAAACCCUGAUGCAGCGACGCCGCGUGGAGGAAGAAGGUCUUCGGAUUGUAAACUCCUGUUGUUGAGGAAGAUAAUGACGGUACUCAACAAGGAAGUGACGGCUAACUACGUGCCAGCAGCCGCGGUAAAACGUAGGUCACAAGCGUUGUCCGGAAUUACUGGGUGUAAAGGGAGCGCAGGCGGGAAGACAAGUUGGAAGUGAAAUCCAUGGGCUCAACCCAUGAACUGCUUUCAAAACUGUUUUUCUUGAGUAGUGCAGAGGUAGGCGGAAUUCCCGGUGUAGCGGUGGAAUGCGUAGAUAUCGGGAGGAACACCAGUGGCGAAGGCGGCCUACUGGGCACCAACUGACGCUGAGGCUCGAAAGUGUGGGUAGCAAACAGGAUUAGAUACCCUGGUAGUCCACACCGUAAACGAUGAUUACU